rnacentral:lncRNA from 1 species
CCCAGUUGCAUCCAGGAGGGUGUUUAUUUUGACCUGUUGCUGUGAUAGUCUAAUUCAGUCAUUUUAGCAUGGGAGCAUUUUGAUAUAAUCUGAAAUAUAAACCACUCAACUUUCACCUGUUACAAAUUGUCAGUCAGCAGGGGAAACCAGCAUCCAGAGUGAACCUCAGGGGGUGUUUGAACAGUGGGGUGUAUGGUAAGAGUGAAGGUGAGACUCCAGCAUGGGGGAACCAGUUUGAACUGGAUCAAGACUUAAAUGUAUUCAAAGUCCAAAGGUGUAAACAAAGAUGUGCCUGGGUCAAAUAAAAA